AACCAACAAGGGCCAGGAGAUUAGGGAUUAGGAGAUUAGAUAUCACCAGAGUAGGGCUGGGAACUUGGGCUAGAGAUGUGGAGAGACUAUGAAAAUAAGAGUUCAGCUGUCCACAGUAGUCUAUAAGCAGACUCAAAGAGGAGCCUGCGCCUGGAAAGAGGGACGCGGGGAUGCCCACCCAGAAGAAGGGCCCUGUGAGGACACAGCAAGAGGGCGGCCUUCUGCGAGCCAAGGAGAGAGGUCUCAGGAGAAACCAACACCAUGAUCUUGGACUUCUACCCUGCAGAACUGAGAACAAUCCCGACUGGAGGCAGAAAGUCAGCACCAAGAUGAGUCUACACAAACUUUACGAAACUAAUCCUCAUCAGGGCGCCUGGGUGGCUCAGUCACUUGAGCAUACGACUUCGGCUCCGGUCAUGAUCUCACGAUUCUUGGGUUCAGGCCCCACUUCGGGCUUUGCACUGACAGCACAGAGCCUGCUUCGGUUCCUCUGUCUCCUUCUGUCUCUGCCCCUCCCCCACUCGUGAUGGCUCACUCUCAAAAAUAAACAUUAAAAAAUUUUUUUACUAAAAAUAGCAAAUAAAUAAAAGUAAAAUAAUCCUUAUCUUCCAUUAUAUUUAACCUUAUAUUUACUUUCCCUCAAUUUACUGCCCCCAAUAGUCCUUUUCCUUUGUCUUUUUUCUUCUUUUCAAAUAUAUUAUCUUUGGGGUGCCUGGGUGUCUCAGUCGGUUGAGCGUCCAACUUCGGCUCAGGCUAUGAUCUCACAGUUCGUGGGUUUGAGCCUCACGUCGGUCUCUGUGCUGACAGCUCAGAGCCUGGAGCCUGCUUCGAUUCUGUGUCUCCCUCUCUCUCUGCCCCUCGCCUGCUCACACUCUGUCUGUCUCUCUCUCAAAUAUAAAUAAACAUAAUAAAACAAAAUUUUUAAUAUAUUAUCCUUGUUAAAGUGGCAUAUAAGCCCCCAGGUCUUUAAUGCCUCUCUGGGUCUUUAUUUCUUUUCUAUGAUGAUCUAAGCACACAUAAAAAUUAAAAUAAAAUGUGGGGGCUCUUGAGUGGCUCAGUCAGUUAAGCAUCUGACUCCUGAUUUCGGCUCAGGUCAUGAUCUCACAGUUCGUGGGUUUGAGCCCCACAUUGGGCUCUGUGUUGAUAAAGCAGAGCCUGCUUCAGAGUCUCUCUCUCUCUCCCUCUCUCUCUGCCCCUCCCCUGCUUGAGCUGUCUCUCUCAAAAUAAAUAAACUUAAAAAAAUUUUUAAUAAAUAAAUAAAUAAUGAAAACAUAAAA